UGGGGAAUAUUGCGCAAUGGGCGAAAGCCUGACGCAGCGACGCCGCGUGGAGGAUGAAGGUCUUCGGAUUGUAAACUUCUGUUAAGUGGGAAGAAAGAACCAAGUUUAAUAAACUUGGGAGAUGACGGUACCGCUAAAGAAAGUACUGGCUAAUCUCGUGCCAGCAGCCGCGGUAAUACGAGAGGUGCAAGCGUUAUUCGGAUUCAUUGGGCGUAAAGGGUGCGUAGGCGGUAUGUUAAGUCAACUGUUUAAUUUUCCGGCCUAACCGGAAGACAGCAGUAGAUACUGGCAAACUAGAGUAUGGAAGAGAGGAGUGGAAUUCUCGGAGUAGCGGUAAAAUGCGUAGAUCUCGAGAGGAACACCGAUGGCGAAGGCAGCUCCUUGGUCCAUUACUGACGCUGAGGCACGAAAGCGUGGGGAGCAAACAGG
rnacentral:rRNA from 1 species